UAGGGAAUCUUCCGCAAUGGGCGAAAGCUUGACGGAGCAACGCCGCGUGAGUGAUGAAGGUCUUCGGAUCGUAAAACUCUGUUAUUAGGGAAGAACAAAUGUGUAAGUAACUAUGCACGUCUUGACGGUACCUAAUCAGAAAGCCACGGCUAACUACGUGCCAGCAGCCGCGGUAAUACGUAGGUGGCAAGCGUUAUCCGGAAUUAUUGGGCGUAAAGCGCGCGUAGGCGGUUUUUUAAGUCUGAUGUGAAAGCCCACGGCUCAACCGUGGAGGGUCAUUGGAAACUGGAAAACUUGAGUGCAGAAGAGGAAAGUAGAAUUCCAUGUGUAGCGGUGAAAUGCGCAGAGAUAUGGAGGAACACCAGUGGCGAAGGCGACUUUCUGGUCUGUAACUGACGCUGAUGUGCGAAAGCGUGGGGAUCAAACAGG
rnacentral:rRNA from 1 species